rnacentral:rRNA from 1 species
GAUGAACGCUGGCGGCGCGCCUAACACAUGCAAGUCGAACGGCACCUAUCUUCGGAUAGAAGCGAGUGGCGAACGGCUGAGUAACACGUGGAGAACCUGCCCCCUCCCCCGGGAUAGCCGCCCGAAAGGACGGGUAAUACCGGAUACCCCCGGGCGCCGCAUGGCGCCCGGGCUAAAGCCCCGACGGGAGGGGAUGGCUCCGCGGCCCAUCAGGUAGACGGCGGGGUGACGGCCCACCGUGCCGACAACGGGUAGCCGGGUUGAGAGACCGACCGGCCAGAUUGGGACUGAGACACGGCCCAGACUCCUACGGGAGGCAGCAGUGGGGAAUCUUGCGCAAUGGGGGGAACCCUGACGCAGCGACGCCGCGUGCGGGACGGAGGCCUUCGGGUCGUAAACCGCUUUCAGCAGGGAAGAGUCAAGACUGUACCUGCAGAAGAAGCCCCGGCUAACUACAUGCCAGCAGCCGCGGUAAUACGUAGGGGGCGAGCGUUAUCCGGAUUCAUUGGGCGUAAAGCGCGCGCAGGCGGCCCGGCAGGCCGGGGGUCGAAGCGGGGGGCUCAACCCCCCGAAGCCCCCGGAACCUCCGCGGCUUGGGUCCGGUAGGGGAGGGUGGAACACCCGGUGUAGCGGUGGAAUGCGCAGAUAUCGGGUGGAACACCGGUGGCGAAGGCGGCCCUCUGGGCCGAGACCGACGCUGAGGCGCGAAAGCUGGGGGAGCGAACAGGAUUAGAUACCCUGGUAGUCCCAGCCGUAA